rnacentral:lncRNA from 1 species
UUUUCAGGUGACACACAGCUUUACCCAACUUAAAUUUUAAAAACUGAGUCUGUAAAAGUCACCAGCACUGUGAUCAUCUGCUUUUAAAAAUAAUUUUUACUCAUCCAGAAGGAAUCUCCACAUUCCUUUCUAAGAGUAAGCUCAGCUAGUAUGAUUAAAAUAUAAUUUGAUCUCCUAAAAUGGAUAUGUAUGUAACGUGCCCGAAGAAUAUCCAGAUACUAUAUGAAGCACAUAUAUGUGGUUGUUCAAAUCUUAAGUAACUUUAUAAAAAGAAGAUCCAUUCUGUAAGGAAAGUUAUGCUACUGAAUUGUUUAUAGUUCUGAGUUGAUUGUACCACAGUCACUGACCUUUGUUGAAAAAUCUCAAGUUUCAUUAGUAGAUUUCCCAGGAGUAACUGUACCUGAACUAAUCUUUUAUAUGUUGAUGAGCUUUUAAAAAUGCAUUUAAGCAGCUAUGGAGUUGAGGUGUCAGUUCAGAUUUAUUAAAGUAAAUACAAGUCUCACUGUUGACAACAGAAAUUAAUAGAAACAAUCUUUAUAAGAAAAGCUACAUUUU